UACGGGGGGAGCAAGCGUUGUUCGGAUUUACUGGGCGUAAAGGGCGCGUAGGCGGCCAGCACGAGUCAGUUGUGAAAUCUCCGAGCUUAACUCGGAACGGUCAACUGAUACUGUGCGGCUAGAGUGCAGAAGGGGCAACUGGAAUUCUUGGUGUAGCGGUGAAAUGCGUAGAUAUCAAGAGGAACACCUGCGGCAAAGGCGGGUUGCUGGGCUGACACUGACGCUGAGGCGCGAAAGCUAGGGGAGCGAACGGG
rnacentral:rRNA from 1 species